rnacentral:rRNA from 1 species
CACGUAGGGUGCGAGCGUUGUCCGGAAUUAUUGGGCGUAAAGAGCUCGUAGGCGGUGUGUCGCGUCGGCCGUGAAAACUUGCAGCUUAACUGUGGGCGUGCGGUCGAUACGGGCAUCACUGGAGUUCGGCAGGGGAGACUGGAAUUCCUGGUGUAGCGGUGAAAUGCGCAGAUAUCAGGAGGAACACCGGUGGCGAAGGCGGGUCUCUGGGCCGAUACUGACGCUGAGGCACGAAAGCCAGGGGAGCAAACGGG